rnacentral:rRNA from 1 species
UACGGGGGGUGCAAGCGUUAUUCGGAAUUAUUGGGCGUAAAGAGCGCGUAGGCGGUUUUCUAAGUCAGAUGUGAAAGCCCGGGGCUUAACCCCGGAAGUGCAUUUGAAACUGGAUGACUUGAGUAUGGGAGAGGGAAGUGGAAUUCCUGGUGUAGAGGUGAAAUUCGUAGAUAUCAGGAGGAACACCGGUGGCGAAGGCGACUUCCUGGACCAAUACUGACGCUGAGGCGCGAAGGCGUGGGGAGCAAACAGG